GCGGUGGUGCAGUGGUCAGAAUGUCAGACUAGGACCUGGGAAACAGGGGUUCAAAUCCCCUUCUCAGCC